rnacentral:rRNA from 1 species
AUUGAACGCUGGCGGCAGGCCUAACACAUGCAAGUCGAACGAGUGGCGGACGGGUGAGUAAUGUCUGGGAAACUGCCUGAUGGAGGGGGAUAACUACUGGAAACGGUAGCUAAUACCGCAUACCAUCGGAUGUGCCCAGAUGGGAUUUGCUUGUAGGUGGGGUAAAGGCUCACCUAGGCGACGAUCCCUAGCUGUUCUGAGAGGAUGAACAGCCACACUGGAACUGAGACACGGCCCAGACCCACAGGUGGGGGAGGAGUGGGAAAUAUUGCAAAAUGGGCGAAAGCCUGAUGCAGCCAUGCCGGGUGUAUGAAGAAGGCUUGCGGGUUGUAAAGUACUUUCAGCGGGAGGCGUUACCCGCAGAAGAAGCACCGGCUAACUCCGUGCCAGCAGCCGCGGUAAUAC